UACGUAGGGGGCAAGCGUUGGUCCGGAUUUAUUGGGCGUAAAGAGCGUGUAGGCGGCCCGGUAAGUCCGCUGUGAAAGUCCAGGGCUCAACCCUGGGAUGCCGGUGGAUACUGUCGGGCUCGAGUCCGGAAGAGGAGUGUGGAAUUCCUGGUGUAGCGGUGAAAUGCGCAGAUAUCAGGAGGAACACCAAUGGCGAAGGCAGCACUCUGGGACGUGACUGACGCUGAGACGCGAAAGCGUGGGGAGCAAACAGG
rnacentral:rRNA from 1 species